CAGCUACUUAAUUUUUAUUCUAUUCCAUUUUUAGUUUUAGUCACUUAGAAGACUAAUGAUAUAUAUUACAUAAAAUACAUAGGUGAGUAUAUUUUUCAUUUAUGUGUGUUUUUAUCUUCUAGUGAAUCCAUUCCUACAAUCUUCAAUGUCAGUAGAAAACAUCUGUGUUUUCAUCAUAUGGAAGAUCUGAAAUAUCAUGAAGACAAAGAUUCCAACCUCUGAAGUUCCCACCAUCAUGCUAUUAAGCAUUACAUCCUAGAGGUGAUGUCAGCAAGAUGGCAGAUUAACAGAUCCCUGGCAUCAUAUAUGGCUUCAUCUAUAUUAUCAGAAACGUAAUUCCAGCUACUUGCCCUCAGAAAAUCCAAUGGCAACUACCCAUGGACCAAACCAUAUUGGUGAAAAUGUAAAAAUGUAGAAAUGACGCUUAAGACACUUCCUUUUGGACCAUUGUGAGAGAGUCAGGGAGAGAGUAAGGGAAAGGAAGAGAAAAAAUUAAAGCUGCAUUAGAAGGCAGGAGGAAAGGUUUCACCUUGUCCCAUAUUGACUCUCCUCAAGGCUGGCCUAGCACCAUGCAAAGAAGGUUUCCCUGAGCUUAGGUGUCUCCAGAGGAAAAAGAUCCACUUCUGCCUCACCUCAAGAGAAACACUGAUGAAUUCCAAGGAUACACAAUGUAGGGUAAGCUAGAAAAAGAAAGGGGGCUCAUAGUGACCAGCUAGUGAAUUUUGGCUGGGGCAUCACAUUCCUCCUUGCAGUAGCACCCAAACUGUGAGGCCAUCCAGUGGUUUGCACUCAAAGGAAGCCUAUCCUGUAGCUCUAUUUGGCUAUGAAUUGUGAUGUUGAAGUCGGAAUUAGACAGGCAGUCAGUAUAGAUAGGUAAAUCAACUCAGGUCAGAUGAGUCAGACCAAUUUUGAGGGAGUCCCAGGAAGUUGGAGACUGUUCCCUGAAGGAUUGAAAUGUUAAUUCCUUCAGAGCCCUUCCUCCACCCUUACCAAGAACCUGCCCCUUCUCCAACCUGUUGCCAAGGUAACCUCUCCCAAGAAGUGCACCACCUCACAGGGAGCUAUAUGGUUGUUAAUGUGUCCUGGGUUGCACCAUCUGCCCUUCCCCCUUCAGCCCACAAGUAUCCCACCUUUGGGUCAUCUCACCAAGCAUUCCUGGGCCUAGUCAUGUAUGCAGGAAGGAGAAAGAUAAGGGGAAGAAGGCAGGAG
rnacentral:lncRNA from 1 species